rnacentral:rRNA from 1 species
UACGGAGGGUGCAAGCGUUAUCCGGAUUCACUGGGUUUAAAGGGUGCGUAGGCGGGCAUUUAAGUCAGUGGUGAAAUACCUGAGCUUAACUUGGGAACUGCCAUUGAUACUAUUUGUCUUGAAUGUCGUGGAGGUUAGCGGAAUAUGUCAUGUAGUGGUGAAAUGCUUAGAUAUGACAUAGAACACCUAUUGCGAAGGCAGCUAACUACGCGAAUAUUGACGCUGAGGCACGAAAGCGUGGGGAUCAAACAGG